AGUGAACGCUGGCGGUAGGCCUAACACAUGCAAGUCGAACGGCAGCACAGUAAGAGCUUGCUCUUACGGGUGGCGAGUGGCGGACGGGUGAGGAAUACAUCGGAAUCUACUUUUUCGUGGGGGAUAACGUAGGGAAACUUACGCUAAUACCGCAUACGACCUACGGGUGAAAGCAGGGGAUCUUCGGACCUUGCGCGAUUGAAUGAGCCGAUGUCGGAUUAGCUAGUUGGCGGGGUAAAGGCCCACCAAGGCGACGAUCCGUAGCUGGUCUGAGAGGAUGAUCAGCCACACUGGAACUGAGACACGGUCCAGACUCCUACGGGAGGCAGCAGGGGGGAAUAUUGGACAAUGGGCGCAAGCCUGAUCCAGCCAUACCGCGUGGGUGAAGAAGGCCUCGGGUUGUAAAGCCCUUUUGUUGGGAAAGAAAAGCAGCAGGUUAAUACCCCGCUGUUCUGACGGUACCCAAAGAAUAAGCACCGGCUAACUUCGUG
rnacentral:rRNA from 1 species